UACGUAGGGUGCAAGCGUUAAUCGGAAUUACUGGGCGUAAAGCGUGCGUAGACGGUUAUGUAAGUCAGAUGUGAAAGCCCCGGGCUCAACCUGGGAAUUGCAUUUGAGACUGCAUAGCUAGGGUGCGGAAGAGGGAAGCGGAAUUUCCGGUGUAGCGGUGAAAUGCGUAGAGAUCCGGAGGAACACCAGCGGCGAAGGCGGCAUCCUGGACUGGUCCUGACACUCAUGAGCGAAAGCGUGGGGAGCGAUCCGG
rnacentral:rRNA from 1 species